rnacentral:tRNA from 1 species
GGGCCUAUAGCUCAGCCGGUUAGAGCGCACGCCUGAUAAGCGUGAGGUCGAUGGUUCGAGUCCAUCUAGGCCCACCA